AGCUCCUGACCAUAAGAUCAUCACGAGGAUGGUGAUCGAUCCGGAAGGUUGGUGUACGAUAGCUUCCUUAGGGUAGAUGUGUCUUGAGUCUAUGGUGUGGAGAUAUCGGAAUGAGAGUACAGAUAUUCGUUGAGAACGAGAGUACUGAGCGUGACCAUAUCGAGCAGUCAUAAGGAAGUCUUCCUUCUCAUCGAUGACUAGUUCGAUGCUGCAGUUGUGUGUCUAGUUCUUUGAUCUGAGGUGCAUCGACAGUUCACCAUGAGUGUGUUAUAGUUUGACUACACCAUAACUCGAUCUCCUAGCCAUUCAAAAUCCUGAGGUGUAUGUUGGCUGUAGCAUAUUCAUUGUAGGAACUAGGUCGCACCAAGAUGGGAUCUAUCAACCUUGGUAGAUGAAAAGAGUAGUCCUAUGAUAAUCGAAAAAUUGAGUCCUUAAGCCCAUGGCCAUGGCAGAGUAAAAUAAUGGAUAAGGAGUUUUUCAUUAGAGUUUCACAUCGGACUCGGAUCGAUCGAUUGAUUCAUAUGACUGAUGUUAGGUUUGACGAGUUCACCUUAACCCUAAUUUAGUCGGGACUCAUGAUAGAGAAACUCAAUCACACAGGUAGCUGCACCAAGAGGUUCGUCUUCAGUUCUAAUGGGUUGCCACCAUAUACUGCUAGGUGUCACUGGUGGAUUUUGAGAGUAAUUAGAAUGAUAUUGAUGAUCGAUCAUUCUAAUUGUCUGAAUUAGAAGAGUUCUGGUCCAUCGAAAGGAGUUUCAAUGAUAUCGAUGAUGAGAUCAUGAUAUGUCUCAUUACCAUACAAAAUUGAACCUAACUAGAUCACACAAACAAGGGUUAGGGUCUGGAUGUCAUCAAUUGGGCUAACCCAAUUGAUUUGGAUAAGAUCCAAUUAGGUUGAAGGAAAAUGUGCUAGCACACGAUUGAGCCUAACUUUCUCCUCGUAUAAUCUUUUCUGUCUCUACUGAGCCAAAUGUGAUUUGACUCACCCAGAGAACCUUGAAAAGAUUUUUCUCAGUCUAAAUGAAGCUUGUCCAGCU
rnacentral:lncRNA from 1 species